rnacentral:rRNA from 1 species
AUUGAACGCUGGCGGCAGGCCUAACACAUGCAAGUCGAACGAGUGGCGGACGGGUGAGUAAUGUCUGGGAAACUGCCUGAUGGAGGGGGAUAACUACUGGAAACGGUAGCUAAUACCGCAUACCAUCGGAUGUGCCCAGAUGGGGUUAGCUCGUAGGUGGGGUAAAGGCUGACCAAGGCGACGAUCCCUAGAUGGUCGGAGAGGAUGACAAGCCACACUGGAACUGUGACACGGGCCAUACUCCUACGGGAGGCAGCAGUGGGGAAUAUUGCACAAUGGGCGCAAGCCUGAUGCAGCCAUGCCGCGUGUAUGAAGAAGGCCUUCGGGUUGUAAAGUACUUUCAGCGAGGAGGCGUUACUCGCAGAAGAAGCACCGGCUAACUCCGUGCCAGCAGCCGCGGUAAUAC